ACUCCUACGGGAGGCAGCAGUGGGGAAUUUUGGACACUGGGCGAAAGCCUGAUCCAGCAAUGCCGCGUGUGUGAAGAAGGCCUUCGGGUUGUAAAGCACUUUUGUCCGGAAAGAAAUCCUUGGCUCUAAUACAGUCGGGGGAUGACGGUACCGGAAGAAUAAGCACCGGCUAACUACGUGCCAGCAGCCGCGGUAAUACGUAGGGUGCGAGCGUUAAUCGGAAUUACUGGGCGUAAAGCGUGCGCAGGCGGUUUGCUAAGACCGAUGUGAAAUCCCCGGGCUCAACCUGGGAACUGCAUUGGUGACUGGCAGGCUAGAGUAUGGCAGAGGGGGGUAGAAUUCCACGUGUAGCAGUGAAAUGCGUAGAGAUGUGGAGGAAUACCGAUGGCGAAGGCAGCCCCCUGGGCCAAUACUGACGCUCAUGCACGAAAGCGUGGGGAGCAAACAGGAUUAGAAACCCUGGUAGUCCCA
rnacentral:rRNA from 1 species